rnacentral:rRNA from 1 species
AUUGAACGCUGGCGGCAGGCCUAACACAUGCAAGUCGAACGAGUGGCGGACGGGUGAGUAAUGUGUGGGAAACUGCCUGAUGGAGGGGGGUAACUAGUGGAAACGGUCGCUAAAUCCGCAUACCAUACAGUUUGCCCAGUUGGGAUUAGCUUGUUGGUGGGGUAACGCCUCACCAGGGCGACGAUCCCUAGCUGGUCUGAGAGUAUGACCGCCACCACGGGAACGGAGACACGGCCCAGACUCCUACGGGAGGCAGCAGUGGGGAAUUUUGGACAAUGGGCGCAAGCCUGAUGCAGAACUGCGGCGUGUAUGAAGAAGGCCUUCGGUUUUUAAAGUCUUUUCAGCGGGGAGGCGUUACCCGCAGAAGAAGCACCGGCUAACUCCGUGCCAGCCGCCGCGGUAAUAC